UACAGAGGGGGCAAGCGUUAUUCGGAAUUAUUGGGCGUAAAGGGCGCGUAGGCGGCCAUUCAAGUGACGGGUGAAAGCCCUCGGCUUAACCGAGGAACUGCCUGUCAGACUGGAUGGCUUGAGACCGGGAGAGGUGAGUGGAAUUCCCAGUGUAGCGGUGGAAUGCGCAGAUAUCAGGAGGAACACCCAUAGCGAAGGCAGCUCGCUGGGACGGUACUGACGCUGAGGCGCGAAAGCGUGGGGAGCGAACAGG
rnacentral:rRNA from 1 species